rnacentral:rRNA from 1 species
UACGGAGGGUGCAAGCGUUAAUCGGAAUAACUGGGCGUAAAGGGCACGCAGGCGGGCUGUUAAGUGAGUGGUGAAAUCUCCGGGCUUAACCUGGGAAUUGCAUUUCAGACUGGUAGUCUAGAGUCUUUUAGGGAGGGGUAGAAUUCCACGUGUAGCGGUGAAAUGCGUAGAGAUGUGGAGGAAUACCGAAGGCGAAGGCAGCCCCUUGGGAAUAUACUGACGCUCAUGUGCGAAAGCGUGGGGAGCAAACAGG